rnacentral:rRNA from 1 species
GACGAACGCUGGCGGCGUGCCUAAUACAUGCAAGUAGAACGCUGAGGUUUGGUGUUUACACUAGACUGAUGAGUUGCGAACGGGUGAGUAACGCGUAGGUAACCUGCCUCAUAGCGGGGGAUAACUAUUGGAAACGAUAGCUAAUACCGCAUAAGAGUAAUUAACACAUGUUGGUUAUUUAAAAGGAGCAAUUGCUUCACUGUGAGAUGGACCUGCGUUGUAUUAGCUAGUUGGUGAGGUAAAGGCUCACCAAGGCGACGAUACGUAGCCGACCUGAGAGGGUGAUCGGCCACACUGGGACUGAGACACGGCCCAGACUCCUACGGGAGGCAGCAGUAGGGAAUCUUCGGCAAUGGACGGAAGUCUGACCGAGCAACGCCGCGUGAGUGAAGAAGGUUUUCGGAUCGUAAAGCUCUGUUGUUAGAGAAGAACGUUGGUAGGAGUGGAAAAUCUACCAAGUGACGGUAACUAACCAGAAAGGGACGGCUAACUACGUGCCAGCAGCCGCGGUAAUACGUAGGUCCCGAGCGUUGUCCGGAUUUAUUGGGCGUAAAGCGAGCGCAGGCGGUUCUUUAAGUCUGAAGUUAAAGGCAGUGGCUUAACCAUUGUACGCUUUGGAAACUGGAGGACUUGAGUGCAGAAGGGGAGAGUGGAAUUCCAUGUGUAGCGGUGAAAUGCGUAGAUAUAUGGAGGAACACCGGUGGCGAAAGCGGCUCUCUGGUCUGUAACUGACGCUGAGGCUCGAAAGCGUGGGGAGCAAACAGG